rnacentral:rRNA from 1 species
AUGGCCAUGGCCAUUGCCAAGCUCGCCCUCCUCAUUCUGGCCGCCGCCUUCCUCGCAGGCACCAGCAAUGGGCUUGCCGAGUACCGGCUCGUGGUCAAGACCAAGAAAGGGACUCUAAGCGGCACAGAAUCGCUUGUUGUCUUCGAGCUGUACGAUUCGUCCGGCGGGGCCGGCGUGAUACGCUUGAUAGAUGGCGAUGGUCCCACGUUCAACUCGGACUCCCUCGACACCUUCACCUUCUAUGAGGCAAAAGGCAACGAGCCGUGCCACCUCGGCCUCCGCAUCUUUGACUCGGCUGAGAACACAUGGCGGCCUGAGUCCGUCAACCCCAAAUAUGUGACGGGUAUGGGGCACCCGGGCACGGUGGAUGCGGCAGCACGGGCGGCUGCAGAGGAAGCUAUCCACACCCACAUUGGGAAGAAGCGACAGUGGAGGAACACACAUGCCCUCGCCCGGGAGCAGAAUCGGGUGGUCCGUGCCAUGCUCGAAAUGCCACCAAGGGAGGAGAAGGAUGAUAGUGACGGUGAGGACAGCUCCGGCGACGUGUAG